ACUAUCAAUGCGCCCGAUCCACUCCAGUCCUUGUCCUGGUUUCUGACGGAUCCAGUGCAACCAGGCAAGCGAGAGCCCAGACACAGUGCAGGACAGAGUGACCGACUCUCCUGGUUUCUUCACCACAGAAGCAGACGAGGCUGCUGAUAUCUAAGUAUAGCACAUUGCUGCUCGUGUCUCUGGAGAUGCUGAACCGACUUUUAAAGGAAGCUCCAUUAUUUAUGCUUCCACCACCCCAUAUGAUCCCGAUCCACUCCAUGCUUUUUCCUGGAGGUUGCCUGAUCCAGCCUGUACCAUAGUCAGUCAGGGCAUAACCAGAAAUCUGACAGGACAAUUUCACUGUUUCUCCAGGAGGUUUAACCUGAUCAGGAGACGAGGUCAGACUGAUGCAACACACAUCUGCAAAGAGGAGAGUGGAUUCAACACAGACUGAAAUAUGUAGCGUAUUAAAAGUAUUAAAAGUUGAGUACGGUGUGAGACAUGUGUUUACUCACAGGGCACAAAGGAUAUCAGAAGAAGAAAAGACCAGCUCAUGAUUCCUCUGCUGUACACAACCAAACACAGAGACUGCAGUGUCCUUGCAGUGUCUUUAUAUCUGCUUGUGAAUGGUGAAAUUUGCAUACAGUAUGGUUUAUAUAUUUUUUUCCUAUAGUUAAUAUGGCAGAAUUUCUAUAACACAUCAUUUCUUUAAAGAUUUUCCAUUAAAUUGUGAAGAAAAGAUUUAAAUAGCAAAAACAUUUUUACUAUUUUUUUUAAAUAAUGUAACUAUUUUAAUGAUCAUUUUGUCCUUGUUUUUACCUCAUUUUGCUUUCUUGUUUAUCUUCAGCCUUAAUUACCAUCCAGAGAUAAUGAAAAGAAAAGAAAAUCUGAAAAUUUAAAAGAGAAAUAUUGAGAGUUAAUGAAAUAAAAUGUGUAAUAAAUGUCA